GCUGCUAUAAACUUUGUCAAUGUCACAAUUAAGAACUAUGGAUUUUAGAAAAUUAAGCAUUGUAGUGCUUUUAGCAUCCCAAUUAGUAUCAUGCCAAGUCAACUUAACAAGAAACUUUGAUCCAGACUGCAUCAUUGAAGGAACAGUGGUUACUCUGACAUGCACGGUUGAGGAGGACCGUAACGAUGGAUCAGUGGCAACAAUAAUAAGUGGUAGCCCAGUUAUAUUCGAUUGCCCAAGUGUCAAUACAGUUGAAGAUAAUAGGCUUUACUUAGAACACUCGGCAAAUACAUCUACCAUAGCUGUUUGCGGAGAUUUUGUUUCAGGCCGAUUAAUGGAGGUGCGAAAUGGAUCAUACAUCGCCCAAAUCAGCAUUACCACUACAAUUGCCAUGAAUGGAGGAAAUGUAGAAUGCUGUGUACUUGGAAUACAAGAUUGUCGACAAAUACAGCUGGACAAUAUCAAAGCUUCUUUUGCUCCUCCUAUCAUAUAUGUGGAAUUUCCAUAUGAUGCUACAUUUUUUGUUCACUGGAACGCGGUAACUCGGAUUUCACAUUACUUCACCAAUGUGACUGGAAAAUAUUGUGGUAACUGCACCAACCUUGGAAUUGUGAGCAAUGUCACCAACCAGCUCUCGUGCACUGGGUGGGAGCCAACUGGACAAGUUUGUAAUGUUACUGUCACAGCUGUAUAUGCUGGGCAGCAACUGAGCUCUUCACAUCUAGUCUAUUUACAAAUUCCCCAAACUCCACACUUGGAAUACCUAAUACCUGUCUAUUCAUAUGACCUGGAGAAACUUCAAAGUGUGGAAAUAUUGAUGGCUGUUGAAUCCACUGUUGACUCUAAUGGCUUUCCCAUCACAAUUCAAGUGAAUGUGGAGCGUUCUAGUAGGGAUAAUGAUAUGAUUUUGAAGUGCUCCUUCAAUAUUUCUACCAACAGCACAUGCUUUGCAAAUGCUCUCCGAGUAAAAUAUCGUUGUGAGAUUAAUCUCAAUGUUAACAGUUGUCUGCAGUUACUUUUGCACCAAGAACAAAGAGUCAACUAUCACAUCGGAAUUUUUACGAAAAAUAGCGUCGCAAGUUCAUCUCCAACUACAACUCAUGUACCUUGUAAGUUGAAGUUUGUAUGCAGUGUAUAAUAUAGCAGGUAAUUUUCCUGGGGUCAAUCCGGAGAUUUCAAAUCCGCAUUUCCUGAACUGCAUUUUUUUUACCUUUUUUUAUUAAAGGUAAAGCAAUAUGCAAGGAUACUAUAAAGCUAGGGUGAAGAGUGUCCUAUAAUAUAAAAAUUAAAACAUUAAAACCCAUACGUUUUAAUAGCUACAACAUGUCAACUAUAUUAUAAGUGAGAAUACAAAUAUGACUUUAAUGAACAUAAUUAUACUAGCGCAGUCUACUAGAGCAAAUUCCUUGUGGCUAACCAGCUUAUUCCAUACUGCGAUUGCAUGAGGGAAUUUGUACUGCAUGCGUUCUGGAAAAAUCACGCCUAGGUUUUGUGUGCCAAGAAAUUUUUUUGUGGAGGUCAGCUUUCCCACGAAAAUAAUUAUCAUCACCAAAAUUACCGGCUAUAGCUAUAUAAGGUAUAUAUUAACAGUUUUGUAUUCCAAAUAUCAGACUCUGCAUGGGAAAGGGCCCAAUUAAUUGGCGUAAGCUAGUUUGCUAUCUAUAUAUAUAUAUAUAUAUGUAUAUACCAGAUGACAGAGCAAAGAAUUAUAAAAAAUUAAGUGCGGUGGGCACACUAAAACGGUUGCAUAUAUAUAUUUAUAUCCCGUUGCUACGUUGUUGCCAAGUGCAAUAUAAAGCAUAUUGCACUGCUGAAAGUCAUAUUGCACUGACCGCAAAGUCAUAUUGCACUGACCUCAAAACGCCCCUCUGGCAAUUAGACAGACAAUUAAAUUAAAAUUAAAUUAAUACGCAUGAGAAAUAACAAGUAUCAAAGUAUGUCCAGCCAUGCAGGAAUGAAUGUUCAGCACUGCUGGAGUUUCUUCUUGCAACCAUGCAGGUUUUAAAAUUGUCCAAGAUUCAUUUUGUGGAAGAUUCUGUGUUCCUAGAUCGACCUAGUCCUCGACAUCGUUAUGCAUGUCAAUUCUGCUUCACCGUAGCACUAGAAGUGGCUCUUUUUGCUGGGGGCAUGAGCUGUUUUGCAGCAGUGUAGAAGCGAGCUUUCUUAGCUUGGUUAUGAGGCCGAGCGUAGACCAGCAGCUAAUACCAUGUAUUCACUGAGUAGUGGGGUGGGGCUGUUUCUUUGCAGCAGUAAGUGGGGCGGGGCUGUUUUGCAGCACCAGAAGUGGGGUGGGGCUGUUUUGCAGAUUUCAGUUGAAACUCCAACAAUUUUGUGUCAAGCCAUUCGUCGGUCAUGCCAAUCUUAUACGCUGCAGAUACUGGAGUCUAGAAGAGAGAAGAGAUGGAGCUGUGUCUAGAGUUGUCUCUGUCUUUUUUUGUGCUGUUUAUAUUGUGUUACUAGGACAGUGUUAUGUUGCUAUGCCCUCGGGAUAUAAACUAGUUAUAACACGUGCACUCGGGCUGCAUGGCAUAUAUUGCACUCAGCCCUCGGGGCUGGCGCCCUCGUGCUUCAGUGCAAUAUAUUCCAUACAUCCCUCGUGCCCGUGUUAUAACUAUAACAUAUAUGUGACAGGCUCUAGGAAAACCAGACUAUUGGAGCAGACUAAAAUUUUGGUGAUUAAUGUACCAAGUGAUAGAGCAGAGCAUUGCCUACACAAUGAUAUGCUUAGUGUUCACAUACCUAGUUUCAUACCCAAGUUAUGCGCGUUGGAAACUCGAAGCCAUAAAAUGUAGUAUCGAGAAAAACGGCUCUCAAAGAUUGCUUAAUUAGGAAAAAUAAGGUAAUAGCGAAAGUUUGGACGAAGCGUUUCGAUGGAAAGAGUUGGAUUUAGAGCAUCAGAUUUUACAGAGAGGUAGUAGAAGGACUGUAGAUACUUAUACAUCAAUAACAUUUUAUUUGAGAUUUUAUACUGUAGGCAUAAAUUUAGCUGUAGCUCAAUACUAAAUUCUGCUCCAAUAGUCUGGUUUUCCCAGAGCCUGUCACAUAUUAUAGCACACUUUUCAAUACAGUGUACGCAUUGAUAUGCUUAGUGUGCACAUACCUCGUUUCAUGCCUGAGUUAUGCGCGUUGGAAACUCGAAGAUGUAAAACAGCAGUAUUAAGAAAACACCCACUCAAAGAUUGCGCUUUGGUGGAAGAGUUGGAUUCAGCAGAGCAGAGAGCUUAUUCCCACUUAUGGGUGAAGAUUUUUGAGCCAGAGCAAUCCAAAGAAGAAUAUUACUUCAUCUCUAUCAGCUUUCCACAAAUAACAGCUAAAGUUAAUUCUAUGAUCAAGUAUGGUCCCAACUGCCAGACUCUUGACAAUCAAGCAUCUAGUGUUGAUUAUAAUGUGACUACUCUUACGUUGCCAGUAUCUAUCAUCAACAAGAUUUGCUACACAGUCACAAUCAACAACACUUUUCAGUAUGUUGCAAUUCAAGGAAAUUUUACGACUUCGAAUUCCUCAGAUAAUUCAGCACAUCUAUUGGCGAUAAUUGGAGUAUUUGCUGCUGUUUUAGUGUUGCUAAUACCAUCUAUGAUAAUACUCAUAAUAGUAUUAGCAUGGGGUUGCACCCUAUGGCACCCAAAACGCAGUUGCAUAGUUUCUGCUAACAUUCCUGAUUUAUAAUUAUAUAAUUACUUAUAAUUAUCGU